rnacentral:rRNA from 1 species
UACAGAGGUCCCAAGCGUUGUUCGGAUUCAUUGGGCGUAAAGGGUGCGUAGGCGGCGCGGUAAGUCGGGUGUGAAAUCUCGGAGCUUAACUCCGAAACUGCAUUCGAUACUGCCGUGCUUGAGGACUGGAGAGGAGACUGGAAUUUACGGUGUAGCGGUGAAAUGCGUAGAUAUCGUAAGGAAGACCAGUGGCGAAGGCGGGUCUCUGGACAGUUCCUGACGCUGAGACACGAAAGCGUGGGUAGCAAACAGG